rnacentral:rRNA from 1 species
UACGGGGGGAGCAAGCGUUGUUCGGAAUUACUGGGCGUAAAGGGCGCGUAGGCGGUUUGCUAAGUUGGACGUGAAAACUCUGGGCUUAACCCAGAGCCUGCAUCCAAAACUGGCAAGCUAGAGUAUUGGAGGGGGAAGCGGAAUUCCUGGUGUAGCAGUGAAAUGCGUAGAUAUCAGGAGGAACACCGGUGGCGAAGGCGGCUUCCUGGACAAUAACUGACGCUGAGGCGCGAAAGCUAGGGGAGCAAACAGG